rnacentral:rRNA from 1 species
UGAACGCUGGCGGCAGGCCUAACACAUGCAAGUCGAGCGGAUGAAGGGAGCUUGCUCCUGGAUUCAGCGGCGGACGGGUGAGUAAUGCCUAGGAAUCUGCCUGGUAGUGGGGGAUAACGUCCGGAAACGGGCGCUAAUACCGCAUACGUCCUGAGGGAGAAAGUGGGGGAUCUUCGGACCUCACGCUAUCAGAUGAGCCUAGGUCGGAUUAGCUAGUUGGUGGGGUAAAGGCCUACCAAGGCGACGAUCCGUAACUGGUCUGAGAGGAUGAUCAGUCACACUGGAACUGAGACACGGUCCAGACUCCUACGGGAGGCAGCAGUGGGGAAUAUUGGACAAUGGGCGAAAGCCUGAUCCAGCCAUGCCGCGUGUGUGAAGAAGGUCUUCGGAUUGUAAAGCACUUUAAGUUGGGAGGAAGGGCAGUAAGUUAAUACCUUGCUGUUUUGACGUUACCAACAGAAUAAGCACCGGCUAACUUCGUG